UAGGGUUCGUGGAAAAUCUACAACCGGGAGAAAGCAGCCAUCGAUGCAAGCUUUCGACGUGGAUGGUGGUUCAGAUAUGGUGAGCAAAGUCUACAACGGAACAUGCUUUUGUCCCCUUCCAGUGGUUCCGUUGAAGUCGAAGACAACUAGCAACCCUGAUAGAUGGUUUCUACGAUACCCUAUGUGGAAGAACACACAAAUGUGAUGCGGGUAUUUUCAAUGGUUAGAUGAAAUACAAGAGCAAUGUGUGGAAGGAGAAGUAUCUUCGAAGAAUAGUAACAUGGUGGGCAAUUAAGAACCAAAAAAGAAAA